AGCCUGAUGCAGCCAUGCCGCGUGUGUGAAGAAGGCCUUCGGGUUGUAAAGCACUUUCAGUCGUGAGGAAGGUAGUGUAGUUAAUAGCUGCAUUAUUUGACGUUAGCGACAGAAGAAGCACCGGCUAACUCCGUGCCAGCAGCCGCGGUAAUACGGAGGGUGCGAGCGUUAAUCGGAAUUACUGGGCGUAAAGCGCAUGCAGGUGGUUUGUUAAGUCAGAUGUGAAAGCCCGGGGCUCAACCUCGGAAUAGCAUUUGAAACUGGCAGACUAGAGUACUGUAGAGGGGGGUAGAAUUUCAGGUGUAGCGGUGAAAUGCGUAGAGAUCUGAAGGAAUACCGGUGGCGAAGGCGGCCCCCUGGACAGAUACUGACACUCAGAUGCGAAAGCGUGGGGAGCAAACAGGAUUAGAUACCCUGGUAGUCCACGCCGUAAACGAUGUCUACUUGGUUGUGGCCUUGAGCCGUGGCUUUCGGAGCUAACGCGUUAAGUAGACCGCCUGGG
rnacentral:rRNA from 1 species